rnacentral:rRNA from 1 species
UACGUAGGGUGCGAGCGUUAAUCGGAAUUACUGGGCGUAAAGCGUGCGCAGGCGGUUUUGUAAGCCAGAUGUGAAAUCCCCGGGCUCAACCUGGGAAUGGCAUUUGGGACUGCAAGGCUGGAGUACGGCAGAGGAGACUGGAAUUCCUGGUGUAGCAGUGAAAUGCGUAGAGAUCAGGAGGAAUACCGAUGGCGAAGGCAGGUCUCUGGGCUGAUACUGACGCUCAUGCACGAAAGCGUGGGGAGCAAAAGGG